GUCUUCGACAAGUUAAUAAAUUCGACGACAAAAAUAAAGCGGCCGCCCUCCCCUCCACUGCGACGGCUGCUUCCUCGCCGUUCCUCACCACCCAUCUCCGGCCUCCUCCUCCUUCUCCCCCCUCGUUCUCUGUUUCCGCUCGCCUCUAGAUGGCUUCCUUCUCCAUCCGUCACACCUCCGGCUUUUCAGGGAGUUGACCCAUGUUCCUGAAUUUAUUUUUCUUUGGUAGAUUAUGAUGAAGUUGUGGAAAGCAGAAGGCAGAGAAGUUAAUGAAGAAGUUGCACCUAGAGGAGUGAAAUUUAUGAACUGCUUCACUAACUCCGAGCUGCAUUGCAUGGCUUUAGUCGAUAGAAGGUGAGAGUUUUCUGGCACGACCUUGACCCGCCAUCGAUCUUGAGAUGCAUUCAGAGAAACAUGGCUAAAUCAGG